rnacentral:rRNA from 1 species
AUUGAACGCUGGCGGCAUGCUUUACACAUGCAAGUCGAACGGUAACAGGCCGCAAGGUGCUGACGAGUGGCGAACGGGUGAGUAAUGCAUCGGAACGUGCCCAGUCGUGGGGGAUAACGCAGCGAAAGCUGCGCUAAUACCGCAUACGAUCUAUGGAUGAAAGCGGGGGACCGUAAGGCCUCGCGCGAUUGGAGCGGCCGAUGUCAGAUUAGGUAGUUGGUGGGGUAAAGGCUCACCAAGCCAACGAUCUGUAGCUGGUCUGAGAGGACGACCAGCCACACUGGGACUGAGAAACGGCCCAGACUCCUACGGGAGGCAGCAGUGGGGAAUUUUGGACAAUGGGCGCAAGCCUGAUCCAGCAAUGCCGCGUGCAGGAAGAAGGCCUUCGGGUUGUAAACUGCUUUUGUACGGAACGAAACGGCUCUGGUUAAUACCUGGGGCUAAUGACGGUACCGUAAGAAUAAGCACCGGCUAACUACGAGCCAGCCGCCGCGGUAAAAC